rnacentral:rRNA from 1 species
GAUGAACGCUGGCGGCGUGCCUAAUACAUGCGAGUCGAGCGAACGGACGAGAAGCUUGCUUCUCUGAUGUUAGCGGCGGACGGGUGAGUAACACGUGGAUAACCUACCUAUAAGACUGGGAUAACUUCGGGAAACCGGAGCUAAUACCGGAUAAUAUUUUGAACCGCAUGGUUCAAAAGUGAAAGACGGUCUUGCUGUCACUUAUAGAUGGAUCCGCGCUGCAUUAGCUAGUUGGUAAGGUAACGGCUUACCAAGGCAACGAUGCAUAGCCGACCUGAGAGGGAGAUCGGCCACACUGGAACUGAGACACGGUCCAGACUCCUACGGGAGGCAGCAGUAGGGAAUCUUCCGCAAUGGGCGAAAGCCUGACGGAGCAACGCCGCGUGAGUGAUGAAGGUCUUCGGAUCGUAAAACUCUGUUAUUAGGGAAGAACAUAUGUGUAAGUAACUGUGCACAUCUUGACGGUACCUAAUCAGAAAGCCACGGCUAACUACGUG